AAAAUAAGAAACUCAUAUAUUUUACCACCAUCACCAUUUUCCGCCUCCACCACUCUUCACCAUCAUUAUCUCUAUUGUCACCUUCGCUAUCCUUUUUAUUGCAGCAACUACCGCUACACCAUGACUACCAUUAUCACCACUCCAUACCACAUACUUUAAAAAUUAGAGUAAUAAUUGAAUCAAUAAAAUGGCCAAGUUAUGGAUUACCGAUUCGACCAUCAAACAAAUCUAGAAUGAUCAAUGACAUCAUCAUGAUAUAAUAAACAUAUCAAGUAUUAAUUAUAUAUAUGUAUCAUAACUUUUUAACAUGGUUAAUAUAACUAUUUUAACACAUCCAUGAUCUAUAACAUUAUGAUACCAUCAAGAAUAUUUUCAUAAUUACAUAAUUAAAUUAAAUAUGAAUAAUUCUAAAAAAUUGAAAUAGAAUUUAUAGAAAUAUAUAGCUAACUAGAUAUCCAAAAUGAUCCAACAAGUAGAAAACAGAAUUUACUAGAAAAAUCUUACGCUUCAUUAAAAAUUACAAAUAUUUCAAAAUAUAUGUGAUCAAUAGAAACCAUCUAAUUAGGCUAAUUGAAUCACUAAAUAAAAUUACUUUUUUCAAAGAACCAAUAAUUGUUUACUUGAGAUAAUCUUUGGACAAGAAAUCGAGGACAGUUUGAAGCUUGCUCUUGAUUUCCUUUUCUCCUUGCUUUCCAUCAUACAAGGCUUAAAACCAUCUCAUGGAGACCGUCGCCAGGCCUUAUGGUUGAUGGUGGAAAGAUGGUGGGAAAACAUAGCGCUUUCUUUUUCUUUUUUUCUAAAGCAGGUAUUUCA
rnacentral:lncRNA from 1 species